UCAAUUCAAACGCUUUUGCCUCUCACCUUUUCCAAACUCGAAGACGUUGAACCCUAACGCCUCCUCUGAGCGAGUCCUCCAUUAUCACCGGUGAGAUAGCUCCAACCACCACCAAAAUCCGGCCAUGCAAUCAUCACCCAUCCUUGCAUCCUAAACCACCACCGUUCUUCCCAAAAUCCUCGCCAAAAUGGACCCGUUUCAGAUUUGGAAUCGAAGAAGAUGAAAAUCUCUCAAAUCCUCGAGUUCUUGCAAACCAUUGGGCUUGAUAUGAGUAUUGCUCGUUUCUUCUCAAAUAGAACACACGGUUAAUACCGGUUUUGAGUCAAGUUAGAGUCGUUUGAGGUCUUUAAGCAUUGUCCAUAUGGCCUUCGAGGUAUUUUCUUUCUUUUUGCCCUUUCAUCUCCAUCUUCUGUUUGAUCGUAUACUCGUAUCCUUCUGCUUUUUCUCUUUUCUGUCCCCCUUUUUUUACUUGUCCCUCACCCUUUCCUCCAGUUUUUCCUUAGUUGGAUUUCUUUAUUUGAAUUUGGUACGGUAUUAAAAUAUUGAUUAUAAAUUUCUGGGUUUAUAUGGUGGUCGUAUUUAUUAUGUGAGCUUUUCAACAUUUUCUUGUGGACAUUCUCGUGAAUUCUAUUUAGUUUAUUGCCCGCUUAAUUUCUGAUUUUUUGUUUUCAAGUCAUAUAAUUGGUUCUCGCUCAUUCAAAUGUGUACUUUAAUUAUAGCUCAUUAAGAAAUCCAGAGUUGAGCUUAGUUUUAGUUGUGAAAAAUUCAAGUAAUUUCGUUCUUCUAAUUUUCAAAUGAUUUUCUUUUUUGAUAUUGUCUGGGCCUUGAGGUAAUUUUCGAGUCCUUCAUAGAGGUCUGUUAAGUGUUGGGUCAAACUUGACCCAUCAACACUUAAAAGUGGGUCAAUUUGACCCAUAUUUCUGCCCGGCCUAGGGGUACUUCUCAGGUGCUUAAGGGGCAGUUUAGGAACUUAGGCUUAAGGAAAUCUCAGUAACUAACUUAAGAAGCUUCUAGAAAGCUGGGAAGGGGGACUGAUUUGAAGCUCUAAAAUUAAAAUAAAGGACUCCUAAGCAAAAACAAAAUUCCAGAAGGUUUUAAGUACAAAUGUAAAUUCUUUAAGGCUGUCCUAAUGUCUUGCCUAUAAAGGCAUCAUAACUUGGCAUUCAAAUAGAAUUUUUAAGGGAGAAAAAUCUAAAAACUGAAACGACUAAGAAGAAUUGUUCAAAAAUCUGAGAAAUUGGGAAUUUGUAAUCCUUUCAAUAGUUAGAAUUCCUUGGCAACUUUUGAAUCUCGUUCUGGGGUUGGAAUGGAUUUAAAUUGGGGUUUGGAAGGUGCUGGUUCAAGUCCUGUUGUUUGUUUACUGUUCUGUUGAGCUUUUUGAGCUAGUUUCAUUGUUUGAUUGUCGAACCUGGGCUGACUUCUGAUGUUUCUUAUUGCUGAUCCUUCACCUUCUUUUGGCUUUGUUUGUUCACUACCAGGUACACACUUUGAGUCCCAUUGUUUGUGAAGUUGACUAGAAGAAUGAAACAAAACGUAGAAAUUGAUGUAUAGUAUUAGUGUUCUGUUGACUCAGUAGUAUCAUUUCGAUUUUGUUUUCUUGACUAGAUGUGUUAUAUUGGUUGGUUGAGCCUUAACUUGAAUAAGAAGAUCAUUACUAUUAUAUCUAAUUUAGGACUGUCAUGAAACAGGGAGAACAAAUUGUUUGGUUGAAUCGUGAAGUUAACAUUUUACAUAUUUAAAAAUGUAAUGUGAAUGGUAUUGGGUCUUGUUUGCUAUAUAGUUGAAAUAAUCUUUGGUAGCAUGUUGGUUGAUUUUGGAUGAUUAUGUAUUCAUACAAUAGUUUGGCUUAAUGUACUCUUAAAUUUAGUGAGUAUUGAAAUCAUGCAGGGGGGAUGGUCCAGAGUGUUCUAAAGAAUAGAUGCAUGCAUCAGUUUACUUUAUAUUGAUGGUUGACCAUGUUUAAGUCAGAUUGAUUAUUUACAAUACAGAAUGUUUAGCUAACAGGUUAAAAUUCAGAAGAAAAAAUUAGUGCUAUGUCACGUUUCAUAUAACUCCUUGAUUGAUUUGAGAGUGAUUAAUUGUACACAAGGAUUGGGACUCGAGACUU
rnacentral:lncRNA from 1 species